rnacentral:rRNA from 1 species
UACGAAGGUGGCAAGCGUUGUUCGGAUUUACUGGGCGUAAAGGGAGCGUAGGUGGUGCGGUAAGCCCUCCGGGAAAGCUUCAGGCUUAACCUGAAAAGGUCGGGGGGGACUGCCGCGCUAGAGGACGGGAGAGGAGCGCGGAAUUCCCGGUGUAGAGGUGAAAUUCGUAGAUAUUGGGAAGAACACCGGUGGCGAAGGCGGCGACCUGGUCCAUUACUGACGCUGAGGCGCGACAGCGUGGGGAGCAAACAGG